UGGGGAAUAUUGGACAAUGGGCGAAAGCCUGAUCCAGCCAUACCGCGUGUGUGAAGAAGGUCUUCGGAUUGUAAAGCACUUUAAGUUGGGAGGAAGGGCAUUAACCUAAUACGUUAGUGUUUUGACGUUACCGACAGAAUAAGCACCGGCUAACUCUGUGCCAGCAGCCGCGGUAAUACAGAGGGUGCAAGCGUUAAUCGGAAUUACUGGGCGUAAAGCGCGCGUAGGUGGUUUGUUAAGUUGGAUGUGAAAUCCCCGGGCUCAACCUGGGAACUGCAUUCAAAACUGACUGACUAGAGUAUGGUAGAGGGUGGUGGAAUUUCCUGUGUAGCGGUGAAAUGCGUAGAUAUAGGAAGGAACACCAGUGGCGAAGGCGACCACCUGGACUAAUACUGACACUGAGGUGCGAAAGCGUGGGGAGCAAACA
rnacentral:rRNA from 1 species